CUUAAUAAUAUAUAUGUGAGAUAACAUUAAGUGGUCUUGCUAUGCAAGACCACUUAAUGUUAUCUCACAUAUAUAUUAUUAAGUGUUCUU